CUGGGCGUAGGGAAACUGGACAACCCGUUACCGUGCGAAGGUGAAGAUUGCUGGUUCGAGUCCAGCCGUUCAGGCAA
rnacentral:tRNA from 1 species